rnacentral:tRNA from 1 species
GGGAAUGUGGCUCAGUUAAUAGAGUGCUUGNCUAGCAUGCAUGAAGNCCUGGGUUCCAUUCCCAGCACCA